rnacentral:rRNA from 1 species
AUCAGCUGCCAUAUCGCUCUGCAACUCACUGAAGCCACUGACCCACUGAAGCUAAGCAGGUGUGAGCCUGGUCAGUACCUGGAUGAGAGACCUCCUGGGAAAAACUAAGGUUGCUGCUGGAG